rnacentral:rRNA from 1 species
UACGUAGGGUCCGAGCGUUGUCCGGAAUUACUGGGCGUAAAGAGCUCGUAGGUGGUUUGUCGCGUUGUUCGUGAAAACUCACAGCUCAACUGUGGGCGUGCGGGCGAUACGGGCAGACUUGAGUACUGCAGGGGAGACUGGAAUUCCUGGUGUAGCGGUGGAAUGCGCAGAUAUCAGGAGGAACACCAAUAGCGAAGGCAGCUCGCUGGGACGAUACUGACGCUAAGGCGCGAAAGCGUGGGGAGCGAACAGG